CCUACGGGUGGCAGCAGUAGGGAAUAUUGCUCAAUGGGGGAAACUCUGAAGCAGCAACGCCGCGUGGAGGAUGAAGGUUUUCGGAUUGUAAACUCCUUUUUUUAGAGAAGAUAAUUACGGUAUCUAACGCAUAAGCACCGUCUAACUCCGUGCCAGCAGCCGCGGUAAUACGGAGGGUGCCAGCGUUACUCGGAAUCACUGGGCGUAAAGGGCGCGUAGGCGGGUUAGCAAGUCAGAUGUGAAAUCCUAUGGCUUAACCAUAGAACUGCAUUUGAAACUGUUAUUCUAGAGUAUGGGAGAGGUAGGUGGAAUUCGUGGUGUAGGGGUAAAAUCCGUAGAGAUCAAGAGGAAUACUCAUUGCGAAGGCGACCUGCUAGAACAUAACUGACGCUGAUGCGCGAAAGCGUGGGGAGCAAACAGGAUUAGAUACCCCUGUAGUC
rnacentral:rRNA from 1 species